AGAGUUUGAUCAUGGCUCAGGACGGACGCUGGCGGCGUGCUUAACACAUGCAAGUCGAACGGUGAUCUUGGUGCUUGCACCAGGUGAUCAGUGGCGAACGGGUGAGUAACACGUGAGCAACCUGCCCCCGACUCUGGGAUAACCCCGAGAAAUCGGAGCUAAUACCGGAUACGAGACACACAGGCAUCUGUGGUGUCUGGAAAGGAAUCCGGUCGGGGAUGGGCUCGCGGCCUAUCAGCUAGUUGGUGAGGUAGUGGCUCACCAAGGCGACGACGGGUAGCCGGCCUGAGAGGGCGACCGGCCACACUGGGACUGAGACACGGCCCAGACUCCUACGGGAGGCAGCAGUGGGGAAUAUUGCACAAUGGGCGCAAGCCUGAUGCAGCGACGCCGCGUGGGGGAUGAAGGCCUUCGGGUUGUAAACCCCUUUCAGCAGGGAAGAAGCGAAAGUGACGGUACCUGCAGAAGAAGCGCCGGCUAACUACGUGCCAGCAGCCGCGGUAAUACGUAGGGCGCAAGCGUUGUCCGGAAUUAUUGGGCGUAAAGAGCUCGUAGGUGGUUUGUCGCGUCUGCUGUGAAAACCCGAGGCUCAACCUCGGGCCUGCAGUGGGUACGGGCAGACUAGAGUGCGGUAGGGGAGACUGGAAUUCCUGGUGUAGCGGUGGAAUGCGCAGAUAUCAGGAGGAACACCGAUGGCGAAGGCAGGUCUCUGGGCCGCAACUGACACUGAGGAGCGAAAGCAUGGGGAGCGAACAGGAUUAGAUACCCUAGUAGUCC
rnacentral:rRNA from 1 species